rnacentral:lncRNA from 1 species
UUAAACAUUAGCCAUUAAAAGCUUUCUAAUUUAAGCAGCCGGCGUUAAUUAGCCCUGCUUGCUCGGCGUCAUGUUUUCCAUGAGCCUCCCUCAGCAGUUCCAGCUGCCCCUGGUGCUCGGUAACACUUUCACUGCUGGGCACCAGCCUUCCCCUCCUGGCUGCCAAGUGGAGAAAGCAGCAGGAGCUCAACACCUUUAUCUCCAGGAGCAUCAGCAGCCUGCUGGAAACAUCUCCCUUUACAGCUCAGCUGAGGAGCAUCCAGUGGGAUCAGAAAGUGACUGGAAUUGGUUUACUGAAUCCUGGAGGUGUUUGUUUGCCUGUGGGACUCUGCUGGAGGAGUCAACACCCCCAAAAAAUGGCUCUUUUCUUGUCCUUGUCUGUGGUUUUGGAAGAGUUAUCAGCACCUGUCUGGAUAAUCUUAAUUUGGAUCUGUCUGCAAGCUCACAAACACAAUGAAUUCUUGUGUAUGAACAUGAUAAAUCAACAUUUAUUUCCUUUAGAGCCCAUCCCUCAUUUGGUCUGGAGUAAUGGGCGGUAAUCAGGGAAAGGAAUCAUUCCCAAAGCUCCUGGAGAGGGAGGGGCAGAUGCCAAAUUCCAUUUCCAGGGGGUACCAAACACCACAAAAAAUUCAGUGGCUGAUGAGACAAGGUGCUGAAAUGCUGAGUGCCAUUAAAAUCAGGUGAUUCAUUCCACUGGCCAAACACUGGGUGACAUUUUUUGAUGAUUUUGACUUUUAUUCCCUCCAUGAAAAUAACUCCAGCUGAGGGCAAACUCAUGGGUGUUAAAUCACCGAUGUUUUACAGUGAGAAAACAAAGCUCUAAACUUCACCUCGCAUUUUUUAAUAAGACCAUUGCUGUAAACCUCAUGUAGCAUUUCUUUCUGAGUUGGUACACAGGGAAAAGACAAGAUCUCAAUAUUUCCACGUGGGAUUGGAGUGAAAAUAAAUCUUAGCCAAAAAAAAAAGUGGAUGUGAGA